rnacentral:rRNA from 1 species
UACGGAGGGUGCGAGCGUUAAUCGGAAUUACUGGGCGUAAAGCGCGCGUAGGCGGUUUGAUCAGUCUGAGGUGAAAGCCCUGGGCUCAACCUGGGAACGGCCUUGGAAACUGUCGAGCUAGAGUGUGGGAGAGGGGCGUGGAAUUUCCGGUGUAGCAGUGAAAUGCGUAGAGAUCGGAAGGAACACCAGUGGCGAAGGCGGCGCCCUGGACCAACACUGACGCUGAGGUGCGAAAGCGUGGGGAG